AUCCUGGGGACGGAUUUGGGGUCAGAAAUGGGGAUUUUGGGGAGAUUUGGGGUUUAGGAUUUGGGAUGUGGGGUCGGGAUUUGGGAUUUGGGGUUCAGGAUUUGGGAUUUAUGGGGUUUGGGGUCAGGAUUUGGGGUUGGAAUUUUAGGAUUUGGGGGAUUUGGGGUCGGGAUUUGGGGUACAGGAUUUGGGAUUUAUGGAGUUUGGGGUCAGGAUUUGGGGUCAGAGUUGGGGAUUUUGGGGAGAUUUGGGGUUCAGGAUUUGGGAUUUGGGGUCGGGAUUUGGGGUUCAGGAUUUGGGAUUUAUGGGGUUUGGGGUCAGGAUUUGGGGUCGGAAUUUUAGGAUUUGGGGGAUUUGGGAUGGUCCAAAGGGAUUUAGGAACACCCAGGAUGGAUUUGGGAUGGUCCAGGAUGGUCCAAGAGAAUUUAGGAGCACCCAGGAUGGAUUUGGGAUGGUUCAGGAUGAUCCAAGGGGAUUUAGGAACACCCAGGAUGGUCCAGGAUGGUCCAAGAUGGAUUUGGGAUGGUCCAAGAGGAUUUAGGAUCAUCCAAGGGGAUUUAGGACCACCCAAAUUUGGGCCAAUCUGGAUUUGGGACCACCUGGACCAACCCAGGCCAAUCCAGGCCCACCUGGGCUGACCC
rnacentral:lncRNA from 1 species